UCAACGUAUCAAAAUAAAUUCGGUUCAGUAUGAUUCUUAUCAAUUAGGUAUGGUUCUUUGGUUCAGUUUCAUUCCCCAAAAAAUUGUACACAGUCCUAUUAAAUACAUAGGUGUAUCAAUUAAAAUUGUACUUGUCUUGAUUUUUAAAUUAAGUGACUUAAUUACCUAUAUAAAUUCAUUUUAAAAAUAAUGAAAUAUAAUAUAUUCAGCACUCUCUCUAAUAUCAACACAUUGUGUUAAAUGGAUUUGCAGUUUCCAGUCUCAAGGAGAAAGCAACCAGCUGCUGCAACUGAUGAAGGUGGUAUCUGCACUUAUUAGCUAAUGCAUCAUGGGUGUGUCGAAGACCAAAUUAGGCAAAUUAGUUCUUAAUAUAUUUAUUUUGUUUUUGUUCAAAAUUGACUUUUAUUUUUAAUGGAUUUUGAAAUUGUUGUAAUUACAAG
rnacentral:misc_RNA from 1 species